GACCACGUAGCUCAGUUGGCAGAGCAUUGGGCUAGUAUUCCAAAGGUUCUAGGUUCGAUUCCCACCGUGGUCA